AGAGAGAGAGAGAGAGAGAGAGAGAGAGAGAGAGACAAAGAGAGGGGGAGAGCGUGCGAAGGGUAUUUUAAGGAUGCUUGUUUAUACACAAAGCCUGGGCGGCUCCCGGGAGGCCUGUUGCUUCGUCAAAAGCAGGCGCCUACUGAAGUCCAUCAUCACACUCCUCUGCUUACUUCACACCAACACUGUCUGCGGGGGGAGAGGAACGGCCAUGAUCACUGUUGAUCUGCAUUCUUCGUCAUCUUUAGUUACUCUAAUUUGUUCCAGGCCUCGAGUAUCAUCUUUAAAAGAUGUGGACUAGCAUUCAUCUUCAGAGAGAGAAGGGAAGAGAAUAGUAAUCUCAAGGAGAACACAUGUAGAAGGAGAGGAUUUAAGGCACUGGUAGCUCAACUGGUAGUAUUUCUGUCUGUAUUGGUAUUCUAUAUAUUUGUUUUUAAUGUUGUUGUUUUUUUUUUUUUCGUUUCCGGCCAUCUGUGAGCUGGUUUACACUUGGCUGCUUAAAUGUUACGUUAUGGUUGGAAAUGCUGUCCUGUCAACAGUCCACAGUCCACUGAGCAGAAGACUCAUGAGACCGUUAAAGUCCGUCUGGACAGAUUUUCCAUCAUUUUGAAUUUUCUGAAAACCUAGAACUUCUCUUCAUCAAACUGACAGAAUUUCACCAAACUUGUGGUAAACUUCACAAAACAUUUCAGGGAUAAAAUGAUUAAACAUUAUGCUCAAACAGUAUGAUCAAUUCAUCAAAUUCAUAAAUUCAGUGGGUUUGGCCUUUCAACUAAAUAGUUAAAGUUCCACGAAUUACACUAUAAUUAUAAAAUCUGCUACAGCUGUCCGCCCAAGGACAUGAGCCAUAUCUAAAUCCACUAUAAGGGGGUCUUAUGAGCGAUAUAUAUUCUUAAACCAAGCUGCAUGGUCAAUCUUCAGCAUACGUAGGACACAGGACACCACUAACCCAUAUCUAUAAUAUGGAGGUAAUUCAAAAUGAUGACCGUUGACUAUGAUAUAUAAACACUAGGCGGGCAUAUUGUUCAUCAUCUAAAACAAAUACUACUGCUGCAGAGGUAUCCUUGUUGAUGGUAGAUACUUAGUUUCAUGUUGCUUGGUCGAAUAUAAUAGCCAUAAAAAUCCACUAUUUUCACAACUGUGUACCCAAUUCACAUUUAUUAAACAUCUUUUACAGUGGAGCAUAUAUUUAUAUCUUCAAUAUAGAUCUAUGCAACCCAGUGCACUUAUUUUGGUUACAAUAUUAUUUUUUACUUGCAAAUGUAAGGUCACAUACAAGUGGGUAUUUUUGCUACUUAUGUGACCUUACAUUUAGUAACAAAUUCUUUGAGAGUCAGCACCACCCCCCCAUACUGAUUAUAGCGGAUCACACACACCUGUGAUGUUUCAUCACAACAAACACUCACAGACACAAUGAGCACAUGCUGCAAGAACUUAGAGGUCCGUCUGGUCUAUCCAAAGGUGAAUAUCUUCUGUCAAGAAGUGUUAUUGAGAGAAAGUUGCUCUUGCAUGACGAAAACACAUCUUUGUGAGAUUAAAUGCAUGUCGAUACGAAGAGGAUGGAUGACCCAAGCUGUCUGUAGAGGUGCACUGUUGGAGUUACAUGAAGGGCGUCUGCGUCCCGCAGGACUCCAGGGCCGGAGCUGCUGCAGCCCCAGUAGGAGGCAAGGUUACCCAGGCCCACAAGUGACGCAUCCUCGCCAGAGGUUCAGGCACGCCUUGAAGCCUCAAGGUCACAUGACUGCUGCCGUGAAGGAAGUCAUAAACAAAAAGUAGGAGCGCCCGGGAUUUUUAUUUUAUAAUCCUUUUUUGUUCGAACGUGUCACUUUCCUAAUAUGAGUUUACAUCAUCAGCAACAAUGAUACAAAAAAAACAACUGUCACUUGGAGCACUUAGAUGCGCAGUAAUAUGCCAACGUCAGCCAAUUCACUAAGGAGAGCGGAGAGCGAGAAAAAUUAAGCAUCUGCCUCAUUUCCCUAACUGGCUGUAGCCGGCCUCAUUAACGAGAGCUAUGCUCAUGCUGCAAGACUCCGUAUCAAGCAUCCUUACCGAGACCUGCCAGCAUGCCAGUGGAAGCACUAAAACAUUUAGCAUUCUAACAAGCUGCCAUUAACAAGCUUGCCGUUUUUUUUUUAGCAAUCAAAGGGUAAUUGGAUACAUCGUUACAUUGCGAUUGUACAGCACAAUGCAUUGAUACAGAUUCUCUCGGUACAGAAUGGGGGAAAUUAAAUGUAAUGACAGCAAAUCAGCCAAUAGGACCGGAUAGUCAAGGGGUUGGGGUUUUGAAAGGUCCCUUGUUCGAACCCUUGCAUCUACAGUCUACCUGUAGGCAUCCUUGAUCAAUGAUGCCACCUCCUCCCUACCUGCUCCUAAAUGACCUAAAGAUACAUUCACGCAAGUCCCUUUGGGUAAAAGUGCAUGCUAAAUUAACAGUAAAGGACAAUCAGCUAAGGAUUAUAAUUAACAAACGAGGUAUUUCCUCCUGUGACUUCUAAUUAUCUUUAGCGUAAAGUGCUGUGGUUAUUUGGGGGCAGUAGAGACUACCGCCAGGCUGAAUACAGUCUCUGUGCUGUGGAAGCUGCCUUAGCAGCAGCUUCCAUCCGGGAGCGAGUGGCGACAAAAAGCAGGGCCUGCUCCUCGUGAGUGGAUGUAAUGUAAUCCUUUGCCAUGAAGGAGCAAGAACCGAACCGGCAAAUGGUUUGUAAUGGAUGGCCUGGUUAUGGUUUCAGCAAUAGUAAAGGUUCCGAUAAGGAGGGUUAGUGGAAAUCAAAGGAAUCAAUUAGCUUUUGGAUGGGCAAUGUUCUUAAGAUUCAUUAUGCUGACAGCCUAAUUACAGGGGAACAAUGAGCUGAUAAUUACAUCAGUAAUAAUUAAUACCCUCAAUGCAACAAAGGGAGCGUGGAGAACACAAUCUUCUGCUAAUAGGCUAUUACCGACUUGAUAAAAUCAGCAGUUCUGUAAUGGUACGUGACAGAGCUGGGAACUUGACUUAUGUGGGGGGAAAACAGGGUGCAUCCAUACUCUGGGACAUGCUUUACUGGAGCAUUAAAUAAUUUUGUAAAGACCAAAGUAAGAGGCUUUAGCAAAAACAGCAAAGAAAUAUAUUUAAAUGUGGUAAAGCACCUUCUUUAUUUGGUUUGGUUUAAUGGGAUGGCACGUUCAAUGCGUUUGUUUGGAUGUUCAUGCAGGCAAAUUGCAGUUCUACCAACGACAAAACAGCGACGCUGUUUACUUCUAUGUUUCCCCCCCCCAACAGUAAAAGCGUAAUAAAUUAGAGAGGUGCUGUUAGUAUGUGAGGCAUCGAGGUGGCCUCUCCGGUUGUUCCCUCUGUUGAGACCCCAGGAAUUAGUGGCAGUAAUUAGCUUUAUGGGCCCCACUAUAUCUGAGCGGAUCCUACCACUCUGUUUCAUUUAUCUGGCAAUUUAGACCCGUGAGCAAAGAGUGAUUUCUAAUUGAUUGUUUAGCGCUUGGCAGGUAGCUCCACGGUAAAACCGCAGGCCUGGGCCGGGAGAAGUGUUAUUGCUCAUUAAAUGGCUUAAUAGCACGACGUGUCCAGAGGGGAAGUCAUCAACCAUGUCUCUUUUUUCCUUCUUUUUUUUUACUCUGGCGCACACGGCUCUCCCCCCCGGUGGGAAGUGCUGUGGUCCACAGCACGACGGUGUGUCGGGUGAACGCCCAGGAGAGUAGGGCUGUCUGCUGCCCACUGUCUCCUCUUCUUCUCCCACUUAUUCUCCCACUGCCUUGACACAUGUCAACUUGUCAAGAAGUUGUCCUUGGGCCGAGUCUCCUGCAGGAUGGAGGAUAUGUGGAUGAAUACGAUGUUAGACCUCAGGAAAAUAAAGGAUGCUUCGCGAAGGCUCCGUCUUUAUUUUGGGGAAAGAAGAGGUCUUGGUGACGAGGGAU